GCUCAAAUUUGAAAUCUUCAAGGGUUUCCCUUUACGAAUUGUAGUUUAAAGAAGUGUUUUCUGUUGAGGUUUUGGUAAAAGUUCUUUGGAAUUGGACAUCAUAGAGGGUGAGAAUCCCGUAUUUGACCUUUACUUUCAACUUUGUGAUACACUUUCAAAGAGUCGGAUUGUUUGGGAAUGCAGUCCAAAAUGGGUGGUAAAUUUCAUCUAAAGCUAAAUAUUGGCGAGAGACCGAUAGCGAACAAGUACCGUGAGGGAAAGAUGAAAAGAACUUUGAAAAGAGAGUUAAACAGUACGUGAAAUUGUCAAAAGGGAAGCGUUUGACACCAGUGUUGUUUUUCUGAGAAUCAAUUAAAGAACUGUUUAUGCUAAGCUGUUUAGACUUUAUCAGCUAUCUGUUUAGUUUUGAGCUUUUCUUUAAUGCACUUUUCAGUUAACAAG
rnacentral:rRNA from 1 species